AAUUUGGAUUAUCAUUUCCUUGUGAUUUGCAGUGUGCUAAGCAACAAGGGCCAACAGAGUGCGGAUAUUACAUUAUCCGUUAUAUGUUUGAGAUAAUUGAGAGCGGAUGUAUUACAAAAUUUGAUGAGAUUUUUGAUAAUGAUUGUUCAUAUACUAUUGAUGACAUUAACUUCAUCCGAGACCUUUUGGCACAGCAACUGCUUCAAGAAUUGUGGUCCAGGGAUUGAGCAAGUUUAUGUUUAGAGACAAUAGGAUCAAUAUUGACUUUUGUAAUUUGUUCUUCUUUUUUGACUAGUUAGUUAAUUAAUGUGUCUAUAUAGAUGAAGUUAUGAUGUUGAUAUGUCUUGGCUGAAAAUAUUGACUGGUUCAUACUAUUUCAACUUGCUGGAAAGUGGCUAUUAUGGCUAUUGUGGCUGUA